rnacentral:rRNA from 1 species
CCUACGGGUGGCAGCAGUGGGGAAUAUUGGGCAAUGGGCGCAAGCCUGACCCAGCAACGCCGCGUGAAGGAAGAAGGCUUUCGGGUUGUAAACUUCUUUUUUCAGGGACGAAGCAAGUGACGGUACCUGACGAAUAAGCCACGGCUAACUACGUGCCAGCAGCCGCGGUAAUACGGAGGGUGCAAGCGUUGUCCGGAAUCAUUGGGCGUAAAGAUUUCGUAGGUGGCAUAUUAAGUCUGGUGUUAAAUGCAGAAGCUCAACUUCUGUUCGGCACUGGAUACUGGUAAGCUUGAAUGCGGUAGAGGUAAAGGGAAUGCCUGGUGUAGCGGUGAAAUGCGUAGAUAUCAGGAGGAACAUCGGUGGCGUAAGCGCUUUACUGGGCCGUAAUUGACACUGAGGAACGAAAGCCGGGGUAGCAAAUGGGAUUAGAUACCCCGGUAGUC